ACCUGGCUUGGAUGCUAAGUCUCUCAACGUCAGGUCCGUAGACGGACGAUUUUUCGAUCAGGUCAAGAUCGGCGGUCAACGACUUUCCGGUAGGGUCAACACGCCCCGAUCUAACUCGGUAUCCAUAUCCGACGGCCGAGUUUUCUCUCUGCUCGCCGGCGGCGAACGGGAGAGAUGCAGUUAGACGAAAGAAGCAAGUGAAAAGGAAGAGUACGACGGCGGAGAGUAAACGACGGCGACGGAGAAAAGCUUGGAGAGAUUUGGAACCAGUCGCCAUUGUUGUCGAGCUGUAAGGGAAUAUGAAUAAAAGACGUGUGUGUGUGCAUCCACUCGAAAACACCUGCCUAUAGGAUGGUAUUGCCUCAAUAACAAGUUUGUGAGGUGCCGCUACAGCUAAAUAAAAGGAGAAAGAUGUCCCGUCCCUUCUUUAUGCACAUUCAUAUAAAUAGCUAGACACAAAGGUGUACAAUAUGUGUGGUGAUGUUUGAUGCCUCUUUAUAGACC